rnacentral:rRNA from 1 species
CAAAAACAUGUCUAUUAGGAAAUAUUAAUAGUCAAGCCUGCUCACUGACUAGAAUAAGUUUAAGAGCCGCGGUAUCUUGACCGUGCAAAGGUAGCAUAAUCAUUAGUUUUUUAAUUGGAAACUUGUAUGAAUGGUUUGACAAGGAGAAUGCUGUCUCUAAAUUAAAUAUUGAACUUAACUUUUAAGUGAAAAGGCUUAAAUACUUCAGAGGGACGAUAAGACCCUAUAAAGCUUUAUAUUUUGUCUACAUAUUGCUUGAUUAAAGUAUAAAAAGCUCGUUGUAGGUAGAUUAUUUUGUUGGGGCGACAAAGGUAUAAUUAAGAUAAUUGCUUUAUUUGCCAAUACCUAUGGGUAUAAGAAAUAUAAAUGAUCCUUAAUAAAGAUUCAAAAUCUAGUUACUUUAGGGAUAACAGA